AUGCUCUCAAAUGCGACCAUUCCACUGUCGGUUGACUUCGACAGCCCCGAGGAUGUUCUUAUCUUCAUUUUCCACAUUCUGUUCGCUACAAGUGCCAUUCUCCUCGCUGGCUCGGUAGUGAUCGCUAUCUUUAGCACGAGAUCUCUGCGAACACAGAACCGGUUCAUAUUCAUGUUGAACACCAGCAUCAGUGACACACUGACUGGUUUUUCCAUUUACUACCUCGGUCUCUUCGAUGUUCAAGAAGGCUACCCAUCCAGAAAUGGAACAUUUUACAUUUUGCCUUCAUUCUUAGGGGUGAAUGUGCUCACAUUUUUGUUUGCGCAAUUUGACAGGUACUUUGCAGUGUGCCACCCCUUUUUUUACAAUCGCUUCAUGUCACGUUCGUUUGUCAUUGGAAUUUGUGCGUUUUGUUGGAUUUACACCUAUUCCAUAUUAUUGGUGCAAAACAUGGUUCCCAUCUCAAAAGCUGCGCAGAUCAAUGCAUUCGGCGUUAUGACUUUGCAAAUAAUAGUUCUCACCAAGGUAUUGAUGACCAUCAAGUUGUACAUCAUAGCCAGAAACCAGCUAGGGCGAGAGGCACCCAGCACUGAGAGAGAUAACAAGAAAGAGUCUCUGCGCAUCAUAGUGUUUGUGGUCAUAUGCUUCUUAGCGUUAUGGGCUCCCUCCUUUGUCAAUAUCAUAGUGCGGCAGCUAACUUACCGCGGUCUGAAGUUUAGGAAUGAGGCAACGAAUCUGUUUGCCAUCUUGGCGAGGUUUAACGCAUUGGUCACACCAGCGUUGUACAUCUGGGGCAGCCCAGCGCUAAGCGGUGCGGUAUGGAGAACGGUGUGGAGGAGAGUGUGUCCCAAGCGGAAGGAAAGUGUUCCAGUGUUCUUUUUGAACACCAACUCCGCUGCACCUUGGUCUUCUUCUCUCCAUGACGACAGCCCUUACAGAAUUACCCACCACAAAAGGACCAAGCAGCGGAGGAGGAAGGAGCCACAGGAGAACAGCGUGAUGGACUGGACAUGGGAGGACAUCCUGGACGGCAAGGGAUCCUACACUUGGGAGGAGAUCCUGGUCGGAAGGGAUCGCCUUCCAUGGGAACAGGUAGUGGCACUCAGAAGAGUGGAGGCAGCAGGUGAGAAGGACC
rnacentral:lncRNA from 1 species